CGCAGUUGAGUUUCGGGUCACCUGACUUCGGGAGGCCAUAACCCCAUCGUAAGUUGAGAAUUUGGAAAAACGCAAAGAAUGAAAGUUGUAGAUAAUUGAAAUACCUUUCCAACCAUAGGUUGUGGGUUCACAGGCGACGUCGGGAUAGGGAGAUAUGGACGUUUUAAGACAGAACAGUCCCGACCCGUUUUCAAGUUGGGUCAACCCAUUUUCCCCUUGGUAUAUAUAGAAAAUAAAACCCUAGCAGCCCACUUUUUCUCCAAAAUUCAGAUUUUAGAGAGAGGAAGUGAGAGAGAAGGGAAUCUAGAGAGAAGAAGGAGAAAAUCAACCAAUUUUAAGGCCCCAAAUCCCAAAGUUCGUGAAGGAUAAUUUGUAGUACAAGUUGUGGUCGUCAUUUUAAGCUAAAGAUCGGACUUGGGGGUGUUGAUUUCGUGGUGACUACCCAAAAAGGUACGGAGUUACAGGACGACGCUUCUGAUCAUUAGGAUUUACUCGUACCAGCUUAUCGGUGAGCCCCAUCUCAUUCGGGGUUUAAACAUUGUAUUUCUCUGUUUAGUUUUGCAUGUAAAGGUAUGCUGGGGGCCUUGUCCCAGUAAUUAUGUUUUCCAGUCAGACUCAUGAUAGAGGUUUCAUAGACUAGACCAGUCAGUUAUGUUAUGUCAGACAUUUGGAGUCGUAUAGCCAUUUUGGCUCACUCAUGUUUUAAACAAGUACUUUAUUAAGUAUUAUGAAUUAUUACGUUUUACAAA